AAAACAAUUGUAUCGAAUGUUUUCCACGUUGGCUAGUCACGUGACACAUCAUCACUGAGGAACGGGAAAAGAGUGCGGGUUAUCGUUGUUUGGAGGCGCUUCAAAUUGGAUGCGUGUCAGGCCAUGGCAAUCUAGCGGCGAAAAACAUCGACAAUUCCUUGGCCACCUAUGAAUCGGACAUAACACUAUGAUUGAUUUUGGAAACUUGUUCUCGAGAAAAUUCGGAAAAAUGAAAACGAAUUGUGUUUGUAGUCUAACGAGGAAAAUGAUAAAAACGGAAUGCGACAGUGGACAAUGGAGCUAUUGCUUAUUGAUAUCUCUUGAUGUUUAUCGGUUUUCAAGAAUGUCGUUUUGUUUCAUUUUGUUUGGUUGCUUCAAGCAGGUCUGAUGAAGAAUGUCAAAGCGACAUGACGAUGGGAAAGGGUAAGCAUUCUUUUUCCUUUCUGAAUUCGUGUGCCAGCGAAGGAAAGGGAUGGCGAAAAGGAAGAAUAAAAGACAAAACAGGGCCAUGGAAGAGAGAACAGAAGAAAUGUCUUCCGACUGUAAAUGAAAAACAAAAAGGAAAACUGGAAAAAAAAAGGAAGAAGAGAAGAAAAUGGGAGGGAAAACGACAAGAAGAAAAAGAAAAAUGGCCGAAAAGAUGAUGAUGACAGGAUAGAAGAGGUGGGGGGCGAUGGCCGCGUUCCGCAGUUUGGCACUCUCUGUUGUCUGUAUCUCUUUCCGGGGAGAGAAACGAAAAAUGCGAUGAGAGAAGAAGAGGCGAUGAUGGCAACGGGCGGAUGCACACGACAACACACCGAGAAUGAAGAAGACAACGACGGCUGUUUGUUCUCUCUUAUGAUUUCUUUUCCUCUCUGCAGGUGUUUAACAUUUCUUUCGUAUUCGUUUCCCCUUUCUAUGCUUGCUGUUUAACUGUAUUUGAACCGAGAGAGACUUUUGAAUGUAAGGAACACUGAUAUCUCGUAAUUGUUCUUUUUGCUGCCUUCUAGAAAUGACACGAUAGCUUGUCAAUCAAAUUUCUAUUCAAAGCCAGACACGAAACAGGGCGCCAUUUUUUUUUUUUUUGCACUCGCAUUGACAGGUGAAUGAAAAUCAGCUGACGCAAAUGUGAUUUCGAGAACGAGUUUGGAAGAAGGACAAUAAAACAAAACUGUCCUUUUCAUGUCUAAUAAAUAGGGGAGGUUACAUGUCUGUAUUCACAUAUUCACAUAUUCACAUAUUCACAUAUCCACAUAUCCACAACACACAAUAGAAUUGUACACAUAAAUACAUAAUGAGGUAACGAUUUCAGCCUCAAGUCAGCGAGACACACAAUCAUGUACGGUUGGUAUUGAUUUCCGGGAGCAAUCUCUGGCACCAGGGAACCCACGACCUGUCGUAAUGCACUCUGUGAAUUCUUCCAGUGCCAAGGAUCACCGGAAUUGUCACGCCACAAUUUUUCUCUCUUUAUCUAUUUCUCUAUCUAUCUCUCUAUCUAUCAAUUUUCUUAAAAAAAAAAAAUAAUAAUAAUAGAAAAUGUCUAAUUCCCGUCGUUGUCGAAAUACACUGGUGCGAAAAUCCGGUUGACGAUGGCCAUCAGUUUGUAGCAGACGAUAAGAAAUCGCAGCAGACGACAAGAAACCAACGCCCGGUACAGCACUGAAGAUCCACGAGUAUCAAUGUUUUCAGAUUGGAAAAGAAUUGAUCAGAGACAAAGAAUAAAGCGAGGCCUCAAUGGAAGUAAGUAAUAAUAAUAAU